CAGCCCAUUGUGUCCGCAUCCCGCCGCCAGGGGGCGUCCAAGCGUCCCUCAAGCCGAGGAGCGCGGCGGGGGCGGUGCGGUAGCGCAGCCCCGCCCCUUGGUGAAUAGCGCGCGCUACGCCGCUGGCGCACGGAGCUGCGCGCAUCAGUCCGGCUGUGUGGUUCGGUCUGACCCCCGUCGUCAGUGGCACUGCGUUUUCCUUUCUGAUCCUUUAAGGCCCUGCAAACGUGGGUGCUAGGAGUCACCUCAUAUCUAGUGCAGUCCCAGGGCCGUGAUCCUGUGUUUGGUGUCAGCAGGGCGUGCUGAGGCAUAGUCCCAUGUUGCUUGCUCUGUUGGUGCAAUAAUUGAGCUCCUAUCUUUGCACGGAACUUCUCAGCUUUUCUCAAGAAAGGAGAGCACUUGAUGUGUAUUUAUCUUGGAAGCUCUUUUUUUAUUUUUUUUGUGGAGUGUGUUUUCUGUUUGCCAGAAAUUCAAGCAGGGACAUGAAACCAGUUCUGAGCACUGGAGUAACUAUUGAAGCUUUAACAUCCAGCCACAACCAUUUCAGUUUUAGAUGAUAGUGUUUUGCUGGACAUACCUUCAAUUUGGUGGCUCAAGGAUUUGCAAACAAUGAGUCAUAACUCCCUGGGAUCGAAAUUGCAGCUGCUGGGGCACCAAGCAUUGAAAAGUGUGGUCCAAGAUAGAGCAAAGUAAACCUCACUGCCCACACACCCUUAUCCUUCAAGGCUGAGUAUCUUUGCAACACUCUUCAAAAACAUGCACACAAAAUUAUACGGUUGCUAUUGAUACAGAACUUACUUCUCCUUUUAGAGCAGAUAAGAGGGGAUUGCGAAAAUCUGUGAUUUGAAAGAACUGAAGCAGAUGGACCUGAGGCCAGUAUGCAGCACCCUGUGCUUGCAGGGAGGGGGCUGGAUUGUGAGAAAGGUGUUGUGCUAUGGUAUGUGGCCAAGCCCUUCUGCCCAAAGAGCCCCCAGGGCCUCUGCAGACCACGUCUGGCCCUUCACAUCCAGGACGGACCUGCAGAAAGCGUAUGGAGGUGGUUUGGUUCCAACUCAAGGAGAGCUUCCCCUCUUCGAAAUGCCUAUGGGACACUUUUUUGGCAUGGACUGACUGCUAAAGAAGCUGCCUGCAAGUCACCUGUACCAUAAAAUAUCCCACUUGCAGCGCUCACAUGGCAUCAGGGUUCUGUUGUGUGACACGUUCUGGGUACAACAACAGCAUGACACAGCCACCUUUGCCACAAAACCGCCUGGCUGCGGGGCUCACGCGGCUGGUCAGUGCAAGGGAGAGUGGCAGGAUACAACCUAUGGUCCUGCAGGCUGUUACAGGCCUGUCUGGCCUGGCCCUGUGGCUGCAAAUCCACUUAUGUCAUGAGCUGGGAGAUCUCAGACACACCAGACCUUCGCUCUCAUGGCUUCAGAACCUGGUAAGAACAGAACAAGCUGCUGUAACAAAAGCUUGAUUCCUGAAAGGUCUGUGCCAUUCCGUGCUGGCUGUGUGCACUGCUCUCUAUUUUUAUAGAAUUUCUAGGGUUUAAAACAUUAUUUACAAACGUCCCUAUUUAGAGGGACCUAGAUCUGACAAGGUUACUGACUCACUUCAGCCUCAGGGAAGUUACUUCACCCCUGGAUCAUCUUUUCCAUUUGAGUACUGAGACCAAUCAUGUAAAAUUACCCGGCAGACUGCCAGUGCAGCUGUAAAAAUUAAUUACCCAGUAUUUAGCACUGCGUAAGAAGUGGGAAGCUGCUGCUGUUGGAGAAUCUCUGUACCAGGGAGGCCAACUCAGAGACCCACAGGUUCUCAAGUGACCGUCACUAUUUGUGGGACGGCCUCUUGACAUGAAUGGAAUGUAGGCACCUUUCUGCUCCCUAGCCUGAAGUCUGAACUACAAAAACUUGCCUUUGUCCUGUGACACUUGAGUUUUCUGUUGGUUUUGGCUCCCACCAGUCCAGGCUCCAGGUCGCUGUGGUGGUGACAAAGCUGUGUGGUGGCUGUUUUACUUUGGCACUUUACAUUUUACAGAGGCAAAUGCUUCUCUCCGCUUGCCAUGCCACAGCCAGCAUAGGCACUCAGAUCUAAGAGAAUGUCCCUGUGAGUCUCAGGCCUCAACAGAUGCAUUUAGACCCUUUAUCAAUGCUUUGUUUUUAUGAUGUUCAGCCUCCAGCAGCUGCAUUUCAUCAGUGAGCAGAGAUGCCAGUAAUCCCUUGUGCUGUACCUAGCAUUCCCUGCACCUCGAGAAGCAUGGAUUAGAGAGAUCUGGCAUAAGAUAACAUGAUUGCAGUCGCUUCCUGUGGUUGGUAUCUGGUGAUCUAGUCUUGUCAAGAGCUGGAAUUUUACUUUCAUGUGUUGCUGCUGUAAGAUUUAGAAAUCAGCUAAGGACUGCAAAGGAGAAAGCAUCAGUAGAUUACCAGAGCAGUAUUUGUACUGCAGGCAGGGAUUAGAGAAGAGGGCAGGCGAAAGACUACAGCUGUGCUUUUGCCAGUGGAAAUGCUUAUGUGGUCAUGUAAGAGCAGAUUUCUAGUGAACAAAAUGCCAGAAGAAGCAGGGUGAAUCUGGUUUGGCUUGGAGUACAAAAAGGAGAUAUUGUGUGUUUGCUGCAGCUUAGUUCCUUUUUUAAAUUUUAUUUUAGCAAGUCCUAGCAUUAUAAUGAUAAUUUGAGGAAGCUGGCCUGGAAAGCAAAAGAUGGCAAUAGAAAAACAUUGCAAAGCUCCUGAGAGGAAGCUUCACACAUGGAUGACAGGACGGUCAGCUGGAGCUUUAUUUUUCCAGACUUUGGGUAACAAAGGCAACAAAGGAUCCCAGGGCUGUGACCAGCAAUGAGGAGGAGGGACUGCAGGACUCAGCCAACCUAACUGUCAUCUGUGCCAAAUUACAAGCACCCGGGCUACAUCACAAGGUGCUCCCUGCAGACAUUCAUUCUCCUGAAUGACAGCAUUCACGUGUUCUUCAAGGCAGCAGGACUUUGCCUCGUCAGCCUGAGCAAAUGCAGCAUUUCCACAGUGGACCAGAAACUCAUCACGGAUGGCUAUUGCAUGACACAGCUGCUGAUUGUGCCAAGAAAGCCAGUAACACAGGAACUCAGUGCAAGGCUAUCCUCUGUGUAACAAAAGCACUUAAUAGAUGGCGCCAGGAUCGCUCUGCCAUAGAGAGGGAAGGAGGAAAUCUCACCCACGGGCCUUGACUGCUUUUUGUAGUGUGUAAAAACAAAAAAAAAAUGCAAGUUUUAGGCAUGAGAGCAGGGGAACGCUCUGUAGCACAGCUCUCACGCCUGCUGCUAACA